CCACAGUUCCCUUAUUUUCCCAACUGCUUAUAAUUCAACUUGCGCACAAUAAAAAACCCCCCUGUGACUCCAAUUUCCUUUUCUUCUGCUUCAAUUCUAGUUCUAUGUUUAAAAUACGUUGGUUAAAUCUUUAACGUUUCCGAAAGUUCUUUUCCAGAAGCACUUCUCAAGUGCUUAUUCAAACAAAAAGCACAUUGGUCCUCCCUAAAGAGUACCUAAAUUGGUUGGGUUUUGUUUUGUGUGUGUGUGUGUGUGUGUGUAUAAAUAUAAGAGGUGAUGAAAUGGAGGGCGUGACAAAAUGACUGUUACACGAAGACUGUCGAGGUGAAUAAUCUAAAUUUAUGCAAAAUGGUUUUGUUGUUACAUUCCUAGUUUUCACCGAAGAAGCAGCAAACACAUAAAUAAUAUCAAAAAAUGGUUAACUUAUAAGGACACUUUUUUUUUUCGUCGAACCCCUUUACGUUAAACCCAAAUAUAUAUAUAUAUUUGCAUGUAUAUAUGUAUACUCUUAUGAAAUGUGUUUCCAUACAUAUAGUGGAUUCUUUUAAUAACCAAUUACAAUGGUACCAUACACAUAUAGCUAAGGAGAGCAGCAACUUUGAUUAGAGAAGUGGGUUAAUAAAAGGAAAUUAUUCGAAAUUGACAACACCGCAACUCUUAUAAAUAAUGGUGACUGGAUCGACUCUGGACCACUCCUCUAAUUUUUUUUAUUUAUUUAUUAUUAUUAUUAUUUUGUUGUUGUUGUACGAUUUCAUCAUCACUUUAAUUUUGUUUGCUGCUGCAAUUUGACAGAUCGAGUAGAUCCGCCAAAUUUGUGUGGUGGCCCCCAUUUCGAUUGAUGAUUGAAGGGUGUGGAUAUAAAGGCAGGAAUGGUUUUGGUCGAUUGUCGUAAUCAAACGGUCAAAUGCGCGGUGCGGUAUGUAAAAGAAAAAAAAAAAAAUUUGUCGUAACUUUUUCGAUCAGAUUUGUGAUGAUUUUUACGAUUGAGUUCAAAAUGAACUAGAUGUAUUUCAAAUAUUUAGAAAACAAAAAUCGACUCUGUGGUAUAUUUAUAUAUAGGACAAAUUAUUUAGUAAGUAUUUGUGUCCACUAUAUAAUGAGCACUCGGCACUGAACACAUAAUAAAAUUUUAUAACUCCUAAUGAAUAGUAUUGAAGUUGUAAAUUAAUCAGACAAUAUAGUGAUAAUGUCGUUCAUCAUAAGGUAAGUAUUGUCUCCCGCUGCAAUCAAUACUCUUAAUAUAAAUAAACGCAGAAGACUCUUUACUACCUACCAAGAAUACUCUAAUUAAUGGCUCAUUUGGAAUUACUUCUAAGUAGAUUCAAAAAUCAUUUUGAAACACUUAAAAGCCAAUUUUGGGGUUUAGUAAUUUUUUUAAAAAAAAAUAUAUUUUUGCCAAAAUUAUCUAUCUUACAACAGAUUUUGAUAAGUAUGGAAGGAAUAGCUUUUUAAAAUUUAAUUUUAUAUUUACAAUUUCACAUAAAUUAUAAAAAUCUAAAAUUAUUCAUAUUCAAUUGGAAAAUUUAAUCAUUAAAUUAAAUAGAUUUUAUUAUUUAUUAUAUUGAGAUAAUUAUAAUAUAAAAAAAUGACACGAAUAAAAUGAAAAUAUUUAUUUUACCUAAUCAAUUAUUAUAUAUAAACAAUAAUACAUAUUUAUAAAUGUAUAAAUAAACUUUAUUCAAUAUUAUAUCAAUUUCAGUCAUUUGCAUUCUUAUUGUAGAAUUUACCAAGUACAGAUGAUUGCUUUUAAGACUUGCAGCAUUUUUUAAAAUAAAUUUCACUAAAUAUUUAAUUGAAUCUUUUAACAGCUGAUUAUUUUUAUAGCACAACUAAUAACAAUUAUUUUAAAAGUUACAGUAUUACUAAACUGAUCCUAAGCCUUUAGGGUUAUGUUAUAUAAUUUCUAUAUAAAUUAUAGGACGUUUUAUUAUUUUUGUGGAAGAUUACCAUACGAGUUGAAGUGGGUGUUCAAAAGAUGCUCCGAAAUUAAGAUAACCUAUCCUAAAUCUUGAAAUUAAUACGAUAUCUCUUUCAUAAUUGCUUAAGUUUAUCUUUUCUUGGUUGGCUAGAAAGGCAUCAAAAUCUUGAACUUCUGCUUCGUAGCACCACCAAUGGCUCCCUAGCAAUGAUGUAACACCUUGUUUUCAACUAUUUGGGCGCAUCUAUAAGUAAAUAUUAGUGUUUUUUUUUUUAAUUUAUCAGAAACAAUUUCUUUUUUUUUUUUUUUUUUUGGGUUGUAUGUGCAACUCGUGUACUUGCGCUUUGUGUGUUAUAAAACAUUUGUAACUCCGAACGACAAUGUUGUUACCAAUAAUUAAAAAAAAAUUCGUACAAAUAACGGAAAAGCUAUG
rnacentral:lncRNA from 1 species